AUAUUAGCGAUGGCUCUUCACCAUUCUUUUGUACUCAUCGUCUUGUUGGCAUUUGUGUCAGUGUGUUUAUCGGAGAGGCCAUUGCCUAGUCCUUUCCACCACAAUGGAAAGCCAUUACCAGGAGCUCACCCACCUACGCUCCCACCGCCACUACAAAGCCCACAACCUCACUUCCUUUCUCCAUUCGAGAAGAAGCCUCCUAUGAAAGACGCUCACUCUCCUACAUUUCCAAAGCCACAAUCACCCCACCCUUCUCCAUUUGUUCCAAAGCCGCCUCCUUUCCACAAACUCCCACCCUUUUCUCCUGCUAAUGCUCCUCUCUAUCACAAGCCAGGCUCCCCCAUAACCAAUGGUCCUGCUGAAGUGCAUCCUCCCUUGAAGAAAACUCCUCCCAAGUCAGUAAUAAACCCUCCACCAAAGCAUGGACAAUACAGUCCUCCUCCCAUGCAUAACUCUCCUCCACCUCAUCCUAGUUAUUAGACAUUUUUUGCAGAUAGCAAGUCCGAGGAGAAUAUAUAGACUAUAAAUAAAGGAGACGUGGUUUAGAUUGCAGUGGACAAUAGUAGUAUUACUACAUGUCGAUUUUGCCAAUGAGAAGGAUGACGGGACACAUGAAUUAUUUACUCUUAAAUAUUGUUGUUAAAGAAGCCGCGGCUUCUCUAUCUAUUAUCGUAAUGUUAUUAUAUAUUUAGUUCUAUAUUACAA